UGUGCUCCCCUCCCCACCGGUACCGGGGGGUCGGGGCGGUGUGCACACCGAUACCGGCCGGUACCGGUUCCCUGCCUUAACGACUCCGUCCACCAAUAGAGCUAAUGAGUUUUAUAUGAAAUAUUUUUUUUCUAAUUAAAAUACUAAAAUAAUCUAAUGAAGUGACCCCAUGAUCAUAAGGCGACUAAAAUCCUAACGCGCCCGGCAUUCAUACAUACAGUAAUAACAAUAAUCAUGGACGGGUGGAAGGAAUGGCCACGCCGGCGCCGCUUCCAUCACCGUCACCGCUACCGCCACGUCAACCACGGCGACACGCAGCAUUGACCAAAUGUUUGACUUUCGUUGAGGGUGAAAUCUUGGAUUGAUAAAGCAGGUUAUGACAUAGUCUCAUCUUCCGAGUUCUAAGCCAGUGGUAGGACGCUAGCUCUGUUUUACUGCAACACUUGCAUUUGGGAAAUACGAGUAGAAGGGAACCAUAUAUGUAGGAACAAGUAAUCGACUAUAUGGUUUGAGAUAUUCAGUUGAAGAUCAGAAGAUGUAGUCCCGUGAAUGUCAGUAUUAAUAUGACAUCUUCAGUCUUUAUCGGUGGAUGCAAGUUAAUGACAAAUUGGAGCACUUGUCUUUAUAAACAAGGUUGUUAUGGCUGUCCUCGUACACAUGACUGAUGAAGAUCGAAAGCCUUUAGGAGUCCCAGUGCGGAUUGUUCAUCAAUGGAGCCAAGUAUAGCUUUUUUUCUAACAGGUGUUGUCGUUGCUAAGAUUCAGUUGGACAUGAUUGAGCGCUCCUUUAAAGGAAUGUUAAAGGGGUCCCCUCUAAUCUCUGCAAAGAAGGUCUCAUUUCAUAUUCAAGCCACCAAGUUAUGCAAGUCAGUUUCGCUCGCUAAGAAGCAUUCCGGUGGCAAGAACGUCUCCUUUAACAAGGCUCGGGCAUGGAACCUUCCACUGUCUCUUUCAACCGAGAUGCUUCCUACUUGAUUCGGUACCAAUUCUUGACAUUCUUAUUAGUGCUGGAAUUCUCAUCAAAUAAUGUGAUACUCAACUGUUUUUUCAUAUAUGAGGUUCUCUUUACUUGGUACUCAUGAUUAUCAAUUGUAAGAAUAAAUCUCUUUUUUCUUUUUGUAUGUUUCUUUAUGUUUGACUGGUAUGGUUGCUUUA